AUUUGUAUAGUUUAAUAAAAUAAAACAUUUCAUUUUCAUUGAAAAAUUAAAUAAUAAUUAUUUUACAAAUA
rnacentral:tRNA from 1 species